rnacentral:rRNA from 1 species
GACGAACGCUGGCGGCGUGCUUAACACAUGCAAGUCGAACGGAAAGGCCCUGCUUGCAGGGUACUCGAGUGGCGAACGGGUGAGUAACACGUGGGUGAUCUGCCCUGCACUUCGGGAUAAGCCUGGGAAACUGGGUCUAAUACCGGAUAGGAGCCAUUUUUAGUGUGAUGGUUGGAAAGUUUUUUCGGUGUAGGAUGAGCUCGCGGCCUAUCAGCUUGUUGGUGGGGUAAUGGCCUACCAAGGCGGCGACGGGUAGCCGGCCUGAGAGGGUGGACGGCCACAGUGGGACUGAGGUACGGCCCAGACUCCUACGGGAGGCAGCAGUGGGGAAUAUUGCACAAUGGGCGCAAGCCUGAUGCAGCGACGCCGCGUGGGGGAUGACGGCCUUCGGGUUGUAAACUCCUUUCGCUAGGGACGAAGCUUUUUGUGACGGUACCUAGAUAAGAAGCACCGGCUAACUACGUG